AUGAUGCGGCGCUGCGGGUGGCUUUCGCUUCUCUGCCGCCCCCGCCGGGGUGCCCGCGCCGCCGUCUUGCCGCCGCCCAACCCAGAUCCACCCCCUCCCGAGCCCAAGGGAGAGGAGAAUCACAGCGCUUCUGACAAAGUUAUCAUGGAGAACAUUCUACCAAACGGCGAUUUUUCUGAAGAUCUAUGUUUAUGGCAUUCUAACGGUUGCCAUGCGUUUGUUGCCGUUGAAGGGUCUGGUUACCAUAAUGGUAUAAAGCCACAUUCAGGGUCUAAAUAUGCUGUAGUUACUCAUCGCACACAGACUUGGCAAGGGCUUGAGCAGGUCUUAGAAAACAUUAGUGCCGGUACCAAAUACAUUGUUACUGCCUAUGUUAGAGUUCAUGGGGAAUUUCAUGAGCCAGUUGGAGUCCAGGCCACGCUAAAACUUGAGGGAGAGGGCUCUCCUACCAACUACCAUUCCGUUGCAAGGAUUUUGGCCUCACAAGAAUGCUGGGAGAAGUUGGAAGGUUCGUUUGAGCUUACAACUAUACCAAGCCGUUUGGUGUUUUAUCUUGAAGGCCCCCCUGCUGGUGUAGACUUGCUCAUAGAUUCAGUUACCAUUUCCUGCAAGAAAGCAGAGAGCAAGACUUCUUCAUUGAUUGGUGGAACAGCAAACAUCAUUUUAAAUUGUGAUUUUUCCGAAGGCCUUCAUUCAUGGCAUCCUAUCUGCUGCCAUGCGUAUGUGGCAUCACAAUGGUCCGGUUUCCUUGAUGGUAUUAGAGGGGACUCGGGAGAGAAUUAUGCUGUUGUUUCAAAGAGAACUGAACCCUGGCAAGGUCUUGAGCAAGAUAUUACAGAUAGAGUAUCUGCUGGUACAGUUUAUGCAGUUUCGGCGCGUGUUAGAGUUGAUGGGAAUAUCCAUGGCAAAGCUGAAGUUAAAGCAACCCUGAGGUUGCAAAAUCCAGAUGGAUCAACACACUACAAUCCUAUUGGAAGAGUAUUAGCCUCAAAAGAAAAGUGGGAGAAGUUGGAAGGUUCCUUUUCUUUGACAAAUAUGCCAAAAUGCGUGGUUUUUUACAUUGAAGGGCCUCCUGCUGGGGCGGAUCUUAUUAUUGAUUCUGUUACUAUUGCUAGGUCUGAACAUAAGCAGCCAAAGGAAGUAAAGUCACCAAGUGGAAUCGAGACUAUUAUCAAGAAUCCUCAGUUUGAAGAAGGGUUAAGCAAUUGGUCUGGACGAGGAUGUAAUAUCAGCAGGCAUGAGUUCACUGCAUAUGGGAAUGUAAAGCCUGUAAAUGGCAGCUACUUUGCUUCAGCAACUGGACGGGUUCACAGUUGGAAUGGCAUACAGCAAGAUAUCACAGGCAGAGUGCAGAGAAAAGUUUCUUACGAGAUUAGUUCUCCUGUUCGCAUAUUUGGCAGUGCUAAUGAGACUGAGGUUCGUGCUACUUUGUGGGUACAAGAAUAUGGCCGUGAACAAUAUCUAUGCAUUUCAAAAAACCAGGCCUCUGAUAAGCGCUGGACAGAUUUGAAAGGAAAGUUUAUCCUUCAUGCUCCCUUCUCCAAAGUUGUCCUCUUCAUAGAGGGGCCACCAGCAGGAAUUGACAUCCUUGUAGAUGGCCUUGUCCUAUCUCCUGCAAGAAAACUUCAUGCUGCUCCAUGCCCAAAAAUUGAGAAUGUUCUGUAUGGAGCUAAUAUCAUGCAGAAUAGCGCUUGCUCUCGUGGUCUUGCUGGGUGGAGUCCUAUGGGUUCAUGUCGAUUGAGUAUCCAUACCGAAUCACCCCAUAUGCUAUCUUCCAUCCUGAAGGACCCCUCUAAUCAGAAACAUAUAAGUGGUCGCUAUAUCCUUGCUACAAACCGCACUGAUGUGUGGAUGGGCCCUUCUCAGGUGAUAACAGACAAGCUAAAGCUACACACUACUUACAGAGUCUCUGCCUGGGUACGAGCUGGCUCUGGAGGACAUGGCCGUCACCAUGUCAAUGUUUGUCUUGGUGUAGAUGACCAAUGGGUUAAUGGUGGGCAAAUAGAAGCCGAUGGGGAUCAAUGGUAUGAAAUCAAAGGAGCAUUCAAGCUUGAAAAGAAGCCAUCUAAAGUUAUUGCAUAUGUUCAGGGUCCCCCUCCAGGUGUUGAUAUCCGAGUCAUGGGUCUCCAAAUUUAUCCGGUUGAUAGAAAAGCACGUUUUGAGUAUCUCAAGGACAAAUCAGAUAAGGUAAGGAAGCGUGAUAUUGUUCUGAAGUUCGAAGGAUUAGAUGCUGCGAAUGUUUUCGGUUCAGCUCUCAGGAUACAACAGACUGAGAACAGUUUUGCAUUUGGGUCAUGCAUAAACCGAAGUAACAUUGAGAAUGAGGAUCUUGCUGAUUUCUUCGUGAAGAAUUUUAAUUGGGCUGUAUUUGAGAAUGAGCUGAAGUGGUACUGGACAGAGGCGGAACAAGGGAAGAUAAAUUAUAAAGACUCUGACGAGUUGCUUAAAUUCUGUCAGAAACAUAACAAACAAGUUCGCGGCCACUGCUUAUUCUGGGAAGUGGAGGAUUCAGUGCAGCCAUGGCUUCGAUCACUGCAUGGACACCACUUGAUGGCUGCUGUACAAGGUCGUUUACAGAGCCUGUUGUCAAGGUACAAAGGCCAGUUUAGACAUCAUGAUGUAAACAACGAGAUGCUUCAUGGAUCUUUUUACCAAGAUAGGCUUGGAAGGGACAUCAGAGCUCACAUGUUCAGAGAAGCCCAUAAGCUUGACCCUUCAGCAGUCCUCUUUGUCAACGACUACAACGUCGAAGAUGGGUGCGACUCGAAAUCCACCCCAGAAAAGUUUGUGGAGCAGAUCGUCGAUCUCCAAGACCGGGGCGCCCCAGUUGGUGGGAUCGGCGUGCAAGGUCAUAUCAGCCAUCCUGUGGGAGAUAUCAUCUGCGAUUCUCUAGACAAGCUAGCUAUACUGGGUCUCCCUAUCUGGAUCACUGAGCUGGAUGUCUCGGCGGAGAACGAACACAUCCGAGCGGACGAUCUCGAGGUGUGCCUCCGUGAAUGCUUCGCCCAUGCCGCUGUGGAGGGGGUGGUCCUCUGGGGGUUCUGGGAGACGUUCAUGUUUCGGAAUCAUGCUCACCUGGUCGAUGCUGAUGGAACAAUCAACGAGACCGGCAAAAGGUACCUUGCCCUGAAGCAGGAGUGGUUGACCCAAACGGAUGGUGACAUCGAUCACCAUGGGGAGUUCAAAUUCAGAGGCUACCAUGGGUCAUACACCGUAGAAGUAGCGACGCCCUCGGGGAAGGUGACACGGUCAUUUGUUGUUGACAAGGAGAACCCUGUGCAGGUGGUUACCUUGAACAUUUAG
rnacentral:rRNA from 1 species